UGAAGAUCAAUGGGAGAGAUCGCGUGGGGAAACCACGGGACACCGAAGGAGCAAGCUGAUAAGCACCCGGCUUAUACAGCAGAAUCUCUCAGGUAGAAGAACCUUGAUUCGAC
rnacentral:ncRNA from 2 species